rnacentral:rRNA from 3 species
UCGCGACCCCAGGUCAGGCGGGACUACCCGCUGAGUUUAAGC